rnacentral:rRNA from 1 species
UACGUAGGUGGCAAGCGUUGUCCGGAUUUAUUGGGCGUAAAGGGCGCGUAGGCGGCCUGCUAAGUCGGACGUGAAAUCCCUCGGCUCAACCGGGGAACUGCGUCCGAUACUGGUGGGCUCGAAUCCGGGAGAGGGAUGUGGAAUUCCAGGUGUAGCGGUGAAAUGCGUAGAUAUCUGGAGGAACACCGGUGGCGAAGGCGGCAUCCUGGACCGGUAUUGACGCUGAUGCGCGAAAGCCAGGGGAGCAAACGGG